rnacentral:ncRNA from 1 species
GCAGAGUAGGAAAGCGCGUGUUCAGUGCCGGCGGGACGGGGAGUUGUCCGCCGGACGAAAUGGCGAGCUUAUCGCAGACUCGCAUGCAGUGCGCUUUCCGCAUCCCGCUGC